rfam:Triticum aestivum genome assembly, contig: Triticum_aestivum_CS42_TGACv1_scaffold_604003_7DL
AUCAUACCCCCUCCGUCCGAAAAUACUUGUCACAUAAAUGGAUAAAAAUGGAUGCAUCUAGAAUUAAAAUACGUCUAGAUACAUCCAUUUCGCUGACAAGUAUUUCCUGAAGGAGGGAGUAUAAG